UUGACGCAGAAAUGAGAAUUGUUAUUAUUAUCGCAACUGAUCGCGAGGUCAGCCGAUAGCUGAAGGCUCAGGCAGUCGAUCCUUCAGGUUAUCUCCUCAUCAGGCUAAUCACGGUUUUGACCCGGCUCUGCCGGGUCUUUUUUUG
rnacentral:sRNA from 18 species